rnacentral:tRNA from 1 species
GAUGUAGCUCAGAGGUAGAGUAAAUGCCUAGCAUGCAUAAGGCCCUGGGUUUGAUCCCCAGAAUC